CUGAAACAGGAAGAGGAAAGACAGUGAUGAGAUUAGAAACAGGAAGAGGAGAGACGGUGAUGAGAUUAGAAACAGGAAGAAGAGAAACAGUGAUGGGGUUAAAACAGGAAGAGGAAAGACUGUGAUGGGGUUAGAAACAGGAAGAGGGGAGACUGUGAUGGGGUUAGAAACAGGAAGAGGAGAGACAGUGAUGGGGUUAAAACAGGAAGAGGAAAGACAGUGAUGGGUUUAGAAACAGGAAGAGGAGAGACUGUGAUGAUAUUAGAAACAGUAAGAUGAGAGACUGUGAUGGGGUUAGAAACAGGAAGAGGAGAGACAGUGAUGGGGUUAAAACAGGAAGAGGAAAGAGAGUGAUGGGUUUAGAAACAGGAAGAGGAGUCACUAAAGGGGUUAGACACAGGAAGAAGAGAUGGAGGAAAGACAGUGAUGGUGAUUAUGAUAAUGAUGACGAGGAGCUGCAGUGGAAAGCUGUAACCAGGAAAGUGAUGUAACAGCGAUGAGUUGCUUUCACAUUGAAGCCCACUCCUUAACUCCCACAGAGGGGAGGAGAGGUUGGAGAGAGAUAAUGGAAUUGAGAGAGAGGAGGAGAGGGAGAGAGAGUUGAGUGGGCGAAAGAGAGCAGAGAGCCUGUGAGAUAGAGGGACAGAGUAGAGAAAUCACUCUGUUUCACAGUACAGAAGCAGAACUGGCAGUUUUGUUUUCUGUCAUAUGUAGUUUGAAAUCCUUUUCUGACGGAUUUUAACGCAGCAUCUGUCAAUGGAGAAAGGGUCCACUUGACACACUGGAGUACCAGAACAGUGAGUGUGUGUAGCAGUGAGUGUAUCUGGCAGUGAGUGUGUGUGUGUGUGUUUAUGAGACGGGUGUGCUGAUGAGUGUAUGUGUGAUUCAAGAGAGGGCACAGGUGCCCUCCACACUGGAUCUCAGCCAUCGGGGUUGCCAUGACAACAGUGACCCAGAAUGCAACAGCAGCAGAGAGUGGUCACCUGACCUGCAAGGCGACGUGGACUUUAUGGAGCAGAGGAGUGUUACACACUCUCCACACAGCCCGGCUUUUAAGGCUGAGCUGGAGGGGGUAUUUGGUCACCUGAACAAGGGCAGCGAGUUUCUCACAAAUAUCACAAACCUCAUCAACUCUCAGAGUGAGUUUCUCUCUCGCACACACUUACACGCAAACACACACACGUAUGCACAGGGCCACACACGAUAACACACACGCAUGAACGCACACACACCAACACACGCAGAUGCGCAUGCACAAACCAACACAUGCACAUGCGCGCACACACACCAACACAUACUUUCACGCAGAUGAUGGGUAUGUAAGCUCUGCACACCCUAGGGUUAGGGUUAGGCAGAGCAUGGACCCUAACCCAUGACCAUCAGAAAUC
rnacentral:lncRNA from 1 species